rfam:Lysinibacillus manganicus DSM 26584 contig11, whole genome shotgun sequence.
CCCGUGCUACAACCGCUCUGGGAAGGUUUAAGCAUCUUAAUGAUCACCUUUCAAAGCAGGCGAGUCUGAGUCUAAGA